AGCCUGUUAGCACAGUGGUUAAGUGCUUGGCUGCUAACUGAAAGGUUGGUGGUUUGAACCCACCAGAUGCUC
rnacentral:tRNA from 1 species